rnacentral:misc_RNA from 1 species
GUUACUUUCAUUCUCUUUGAAGCAACCUCGUAUAUAUUUUACCACCAUUGUUCGCGAUAAUGAUUGGGUGGCCGGCAACUACUCCUGCAAUAGUUCUUCCAAUCAUUAGAGACCCCUUCUGUUGCAGCUUUAUUUGAGUAGAAAUUACGGGUUCAACUCUAUAUCUUUUAUGUAUAUUGUUCUUUGGACAAGUGCUCUGCCAGUACCCUUUUAUGGCCGCUUAACAUUCUGCAUUACCAACUUCUUUUCUUUGUUUGUUAAUAUUAUUUUAAAUCAAUUUUCUCUUCUGCCUCUCUCUUUCUCUCUUGUGGGACUUUAUCAACUUCAACUAUUUUCCACCACCUCCAUUUGUUUAUUUCUCUUUAUUCUUCGCGUCUCUCACACUCUUUUUUUGUCUCUCUCACUCUGAAUCCCAUUAUCUGUCUUUGCCACCCCUACUCGACAUUGUCUUACAAAUAUGAUCCAUGAUUAUACAAUACUCCUCCUCCGUAUCCAUUUGUUUGCUUCUUGUAUUGGGUUUUCCAAUAGAUAAAUAACGUACAUGAAACCAUUAUCCAAACAAUAAUUUUCAAUUUAUUAUAUAUAUUCCUUUUUUGAAUAAAAAAAAAAUGAAAGGAUGACAAAGAGGUCAAGUAGGUAAAGACGUGGCAAUAGGAAGAGUGUUUUGCUCUGUAUUUUCGCUUCCUUCGAUGGAUAAACAAACAUGAAACCUUUUGUUGUGGACAUGAUGAGCUUUGAAAGCUUAAGAGAAUUCUCAACCCUUGUUUUUGUCCCUCAAAUUUCUCUUCCUCCCCUUAUUUGUCUGACCUCUCAAUAUUAAUGUGUCCCCAAAAUUAAGGAUCUCUACCAUUUCUCCUUUUCAUUUUCCAUUUCUCUUCUUUUCUUCAAUUAUUUUCCCCAAGGCCCUGGCUCUCACAGUUGAACAGCAAACAUGGUACACUCUCUCUUUCUCUGUUUCUUUGAUCUUGUUAUUAUCAUUGUGCCUGAGAAAGGGACAGGCAAGAAAUUUAAGUUUAAUGGGAUUUACACAGGUAUGUUUAAUCUAUCACAUAGCAUUGUAUUUGGAGCCCCCUGACAUGUUGGAUCGCAUAUGAAUUUAUUGAAUAAGCAAUUUUCUUUCUGGAAAACACCAUUGAAGGUUUCUUUUAAUCUCUGUUCUUUGAUUGCUACAUAGACUUCUCAUAAGAAUGAUCUUAUUAUGAUUCCUGAGAAUUCAGGGACAGAAGAAGAAAAAGAAAGAAAAAUGCUUAGCAUCUAUUGAUUAAAAGCCGAUCUCACAGUAGUUAUCUAUCCGCAUUGUCCUUUUAUUGUGUUCUAUUUUUAUUUAAUUAAUGGUUCUCUGGAAAUCUUUGGAUUCAUACGUUUCUUAGUAUUCUCCCCUUCAUUCAUUGUGUAUGGUCCAUUCAAAUUGUUGGGUUAGGCGAAUUCGGCAUCUGGAAUGGCUGUGCAUGAUGACUGUAAGCUCAAGUUUUUGGAACUAAAAGCAAAGAGGAACUACCGAUUCAUCAUUUUCAAGAUUGAAGCUCAGCAAGUGGUAGUAGACAAACUUGGAAGCCCUCAAGAAACCUACGAGGAUUUCACUGCAUCUCUGCCAGCUGAUGAAUGCCGCUAUGCUGUCUUUGAUUUUGAUUUCACCACUAAUGAGAAUUGUCAGAAAAGCAAAAUUUUCUUCAUUGCUUGGUCACCUGAUACUUCAAGGGUGAGAAUGAAGAUGGUGUAUGCAAGCUCCAAAGACAGAUUCAAGAGGGAACUAGAUGGCAUUCAGGUUGAGUUGCAAGCAACAGAUCCCAGCGAAAUGAGCCUGGACAUUGUAAAAGGACGAGCACUUUAGACACUAAUCCUUUCUCUUGUUUGAUGUUUGAGCCUUUUUUUGACAAAUUACAUGUCAUCAAAGUAUCAAACUCAGCAUUGUUUAUUUUGUUUCAUUUCAUUUCAUUUACUUUCUGUUGCAUGGGGUUUUUACACCAACCCCUCUAGUUUGAUGUAAUAUGCGUACUCGGUACUUCUAUCUUGUUUAUUACUUUUUUUCUGCCGUUUCAUUCGGCAAACUACUAUUCUUUCCUCUUGUAAUUGUCCUGUAGCUUCAGAGAAAUAUCGUAAUUAAGUUGCGUGAGAAUCUUUAAUUUGCU